rnacentral:rRNA from 1 species
UCUCCGUAGGUGAACCUGCGGANGGAUCAUUACAAGAACGCCCGGGCUUCGGCCUGGUUAUUCAUAACCCUUUGUUGUCCGACUCUGUUGCCUCCGGGGCGACCCUGCCUUCGGGCGGGGGCUCCGGGUGGACACUUCAAACUCUUGCGUAACUUUGCAGUCUGAGUAAACUUAAUUAAUAAAUUAAAACUUUUAACAACGGAUCUCUUGGUUCUGGCAUCGAUGAAGAACGCAGCGAAAUGCGAUAAGUAAUGUGAAUUGCAGAAUUCAGUGAAUCAUCGAAUCUUUGAACGCACAUUGCGCCCCCUGGUAUUCCGGGGGGCAUGCCUGUUCGAGCGUCAUUUCACCACUCAAGCCUCGCUUGGUAUUGGGCAACGCGGUCCGCCGCGUGCCUCAAAUCGUCCGGCUGGGUCUUCUGUCCCCUAAGCGUUGUGGAAACUGUUCGCUAAAGGGUGUUCGGGAGGCUACGCCGUAAAACAACCCCAUUUCUAAGGUUGACCUCGGAUCAGGUAGGGAUACCCGCUGAACUUAAGCAUAUCA